UAGAAUAUGGUGUAGCGUGGUGGCUUGAAGAACUUUGAAUUCUUAAGGGUAGGUUCAAUUCCUACAGUUCUAG
rnacentral:tRNA from 1 species